rnacentral:rRNA from 1 species
GUGAACGCCGGCGGUAGGCCUAACACAUGCAAGUCGAACGGCAGCACAGUAAGAGCUUGCUCUUACGGGUGGCGAGUGGCGGACGGGUGAGGAAUACAUCGGAAUCUACUUUUUCGUGGGGGAUAACGUAGGGAAACUUACGCUAAUACCGCAUACGACCUACGGGUGAAAGCAGGGGAUCUUCAGACCUUGCGCGAUUGAAUGAGCCGAUGUCGGAUUAGCUAGUUGGCGGGGUAAAGGCCCACCAAGGCGACGAUCCGUAGCUGGUCUGAGAGGAUGAUCAGCCACACUGGAACUGAGACACGGUCCAGACUCCUACGGGAGGCAGCAGUGGGGAAUAUUGGACAAUGGGCGCAAGCCUGAUCCAGCCAUACCGCGUGGGUGAAGAAGGCCUUCGGGUUGUAAAGCCCUUUUGUUGGGAAAGAAAAGCAGCAGGUUAAUACCCCGCUGUUCUGACGGUACCCAAAGAAUAAGCACCGGCUAACUUCGUG